rnacentral:misc_RNA from 1 species
CAACCGUCAAGCGUGGCUUGGUGUUGGGCGUUUUGUCCCGCCGCGUGCGCGGACUCGCCUCAAAAGAAUCGGCGUCUGCAUGUGGGCCUGAUGCGUAGUAAAAUUCGCAGACCAGGCUGGCGUGCUGGCGGCCGGAACGCACUAUAUCUUU